GGCUUCAUGGUCUAGUGGUAUGAUUCCUGCUUUGGGUUACACUCAAGUCUGCAGGAGGCCCCGCGUUCGAAUCGCGGUGGAGCCC
rnacentral:tRNA from 1 species